UGUGUGUGUGUGUGUUAUAUGUACAUUUGUGAAUAUACAUGCACAUGUGGAACCAACCUUAUCUGCCCGGCUCCAAAUAGCUUUAGGAGGUGGCUCUCCUGUGAUAGGAAUCUCGAGACGAAGCUUAUUUCCUGCGAUCACUGUCACUGUAUUAUCAGCAUCCAGGCCAUCCAGGAUGAUCUUAGGAGGAUCUGGAAUAUUAAGCAUAUCAGUUAUUUCCAUGGGAAUGUUUCACCUAGUACUAAGCCUAAAAUUUGGGGUGCCAACCAAUGUUGUAUCUGACCAAAAAAAAUUUAAGAAAGAUGGACAUAGCUGGUGACUGGGACCUUGUAAAGUUAUUUUAUUCUAAGAUUUGAGAAGCAACUUUUUAUGAUUAGUGAUUAAUAUCAAUUAAUGUAAUUUUUCUCUAAAUGGCUUGAACAUAUUACAACCCCAGGAUAAGAAAAGUGAACAAAAAUGCAACUCUGUAAUGAUCGAUGAUCGGUUGUAUCUACUUACCAAUAACAUGAACUUUGGCAGGCAAAGUAAUAUUAUAGGCAUCUGGUGUAAAUACAUAAUCACCUUCAUCUUCAAUGAGAGCACUGGCUAUGACUAACUUGUGGAUUCUGGAGAAAGAAGAGAAAAAUAUCUCUACAACUGUACAAAGAUUUAGAUCAUCUAAGACUCAAACUGCAAAGACACCUGGUCUUGGUCUGGUUAACUUCUUUAGCUCAGUCUAGGAAGAAAGAGAGGAGGAGGGAAGGGAGAGAAACGUGAAGACUUCAUUAUCUUCUUUAUUGACCCAAAUUGGAUCUCAUGUUUGGAUGACGCAGAAACUCCUCAUAAACGCAACUUGCUUCUUAUGCCAUCUAGGAAGAGGGAAAGUGGCAAUGGAACCCACCUUCACCGUGGCCCACCCAGCUUGCUCACCUCCCUUUGUGAACAACCUUCAGCCGAUCACUCUCCUGAACAGCGAUCCUGAUUCAUCUCACACAGACACUCAGCUAGAAUGGAAUCCAGCUAACGAGUUUCCAAU